rnacentral:rRNA from 1 species
AGAACGAACGCUGGCGGCAGGCCUAACACAUGCAAGUCGAACGCUCGUAGCAAUACGGGAGUGGCAGACGGGUGAGUAACACGUGGGAACAUGCCCUUCGGUUCGGAAUAACUCAGGGAAACUUGAGCUAAUACCGGAUACGAUCGAGAGAUGAAAGAUUCAUCGCCGAAGGAUUGGCCCGCGUCCGAUUAGCUAGUUGGUGAGGUAACGGCUCACCAAGGCGACGAUCGGUAGCUGGUCUGAGAGGAUGAUCAGCCACACUGGGACUGAGACACGGCCCAGACUCCUACGGGAGGCAGCAGUGGGGAAUAUUGGACAAUGGGCGCAAGCCUGAUCCAGCCAUGCCGCGUGAGUGAUGAAGGCCCUAGGGUUGUAAAGCUCUUUCGUCAGGGACGAUAAUGACGGUACCUGAAGAAGAAGCCCGGCUAACUUCGCGCCAGCAGCCGC